rnacentral:rRNA from 1 species
GACGUAGGGUGCAAGCGUUGUCCGGAAUUAUUGGGCGUAAAGGGCUCGUAGGCGGUCCAUCGCGUCGGGUGUGAAAAGCUGGGGCUUAACCCCAGUCCUGCUUCCGAUACGGGUGGACUAGAGGUAGGUAGGGGAGAACGGAAUUCCUGGUGUAGCGGUGAAAUGCGCAGAUAUCAGGAGGAACACCGGUGGCGAAGGCGGUUCUCUGGGCCUUACCUGACGCUGAGGAGCGAAAGCAUGGGGAGCAAACAGG